AUACGUAGGGGGCAAGCGUUAUCCGGAUUUACUGGGUGUAAAGGGAGCGUAGACGGUUCUGCAAGUCUGGAGUGAAAGCCCGGGGCUCAACCCCGGGACUGCUUUGGAAACUGUGGAACUAGAGUGCAGGAGAGGUAAGUGGAAUUCCUAGUGUAGCGGUGAAAUGCGUAGAGAUUAGGAAGAACACCAGUGGCGAAGGCGACUUUCUGGACCGUAACUGACGCUGAGGCAUGAAAGCGUGGGUAGC
rnacentral:rRNA from 1 species